UUAAAUCCGUAUGACCUUCUCUAGCUAAGAGAUCUUUGUGUUGGCAAGAUACUGAUAUUUUCUUGUGGUGAAAUUAUUCCUUCUGCUGAUUGUGGUCUGCUUUUGGGUGGAAAAGAAGGCAACAAAAUCUAAUGUGGCAUGGAUUCGAGAGUGGUUAUGCAUGGAAAUGUGGUGGAGGAACAACAACAACCCUUUCAAUUGAAUGCAUAAAUGACUUCCCCAUUCAAAACAAAUAUUCAUCGUUAUUGCAUUGUACUCCUUGAUUAUGUAGAUGCAUUUCAAGUUGUCACAAUAAGACAGUGGCACUCUUGCGCAUUUGUGUUUCUCUCAAGGGGAAGGGGUUAAUUUUGCUGGUGUUGGUCUGUUGAGUAUUCAAUUCACAUCUUUCGGGGAAAAAAAUAUGCCAUUUGCAUAUGACUUCUGCUGGGAGGCCAUAUUGCAGGCGUUGGGAUCAUUUUGCCUUGAUUGUCAACAUAGAAAUUUCUUUCAAGUGGUUUGUGUGUGCAUUCCAUGGAGGAACUCCUUCAUAGACGGUGAGGCAGAUGGUCGAAAGUGAAGCAGCAGAUAGCUGUAUCAUGUUUCCAAUAAGAGAAAGUUUGUUGAUGCAAAAACAUAGACACCAGAGAUACCCCUUCAUGGUCCUUUGGUUGCAAAUGCUUUGUUGCUGACUCUCCCAUGCUGAGCUUUGGCUCCAACAUGUUAAGCUCGAUGAUAUAUCUCUUGGAUAUCACUUACUGGUGCAAGCAAAACCAGAGCAUCUGCGAGGGAGAUAAAGUAAUACCGCGACUGAUACCAAUGCUCCAAAUAAUGCUGAUGUAGAGUAGAAGGAUGCAAAAGAGAAGUUGUUUUGUGCUGUUGUUCUAUUGGGUCUACAGCUGUAUUUCGAAGUUUUUUUUCAUAUUUACUUAUGAAGAGAAGAGAGACAGUGGUUUGGGCAUUGGGGAACAUUUGAUAUUGUUGCAUCAUGAAUUGCCAAAUGGUCUGUUAUGAUUUUUGAGUUCUUAGAAUGUGGAUACUUUAUAGAGGGGAAGUAACUGACUGAAAUUCUUGUGA